UUUUAACAAUUUUGGAGACAUACUUUUGUUUAAGAUCUCAAAGUGUUUUAGUAUUGGUAUGAUAAAUAAGUGUGAAAACAUGGGACAAGGAGAUGAACAACAUAAUCAGACUGGGAGUUAAGUGCUGACUGUGAGAUGCAAGGUGUUUCAAUAAAGAUGUGCAGUAUUAAUCCUGAAAAGGUGAGCACAACCACAAGAAGUUCUUGGAAACACAGGCAAUGGACUUAAAACAGACAUC